rnacentral:rRNA from 1 species
UACGAAGGGGGCUAGCGUUGCUCGGAAUUACUGGGCGUAAAGCGCACGUAGGCGGCUUCUUAAGUCGGUGGUGAAAUCCUGGAGCUCAACUCCAGAACUGCCUUCGAUACUGGGAAGCUCGAGUCCGGGAGAGGUGAGUGGAACUGCGAGUGUAGAGGUGAAAUGCGCAGAUAUCAGGAGGAACACCGAUGGCGAAGGCAGGUCUCUGGGCCACUACUGACGCUGAGAAGCGAAAGCAUGGGGAGCGAACAGG